rnacentral:rRNA from 1 species
UACAGAGGUCUCAAGCGUUGUUCGGAUUCAUUGGGCGUAAAGGGUGCGUAGGCGGCGCGGUAAGUCGGGUGUGAAAUCUCGGAGCUUAACUCCGAAACUGCAUUCGAUACUGCCGUGCUUGAGGACUGGAGAGGAGACUGGAAUUUACGGUGUAGCGGUGAAUGCGUAGAUAAUCGUAAGGAAGACCAGUGGCGAAGGCGGGGUCUCUGGACAGUUCCUGACGCUGAGGCACGAAGGCCAGGGGAGCAAACGGG